GACGAACGCUGGCGGCGUGCCUAAUACAUGCCAGUAGAACGCUGAAGGAGGAGCUUGCUCUUCUGGAUGAGUUGCGAACGGGUGAGUAACGCGUAGGUAACCUGCCUGGUAGCGGGGGAUAACUAUUGGAAACGAUAGCUAAUACCGCAUAACAGUAGAUGUUGCAUGACAUUUACUUAAAAGGUGCAAUUGCAUCACUACCAGAUGGACCUGCGUUGUAUUAGCUAGUUGGUGGGGUAACGGCUCACCAAGGCGACGAUACAUAGCCGACCGGAGAGGGGGAUCGGCCACACUGGGACUGAGACACGGCCCAGACUCCUACGGGAGGCAGCAGUAGGGAAUCUUCGGCAAUGGGCGGAAGUCUGACCGAGCAACGCCGCGUGAGUGAAGAAGGUUUUCGGAUCGUAAAGCUCUGUUGUCAGAGGAGAACGAGUGUGAGAGUGGAAAGUUCACACUGUGACGGUAUCUUACCAGAAAGCGACGGCUAACUACGUG
rnacentral:rRNA from 1 species